UACGAAGGGAGCUAGCGUUGUUCGGACUCACUGGGCGUAAAGCGCACGUAGGCGGAUGUGUCAGUCAGGGGUGAAAUCCCGGGGCUCAACCUCGGAACUGCCUCUGAUACAGCACGUCUCGAGUCCGGAAGAGGUGGGUGGAAUUCCUAGUGUAGAGGUGAAAUUCGUAGAUAUUAGGAGGAACACCGGUGGCGAAGGCGGCCCACUGGUCCGGUACUGACGCUGAGGUGCGAAAGCGUGGGGAGCAAAUAGG
rnacentral:rRNA from 1 species